CCAAAAAACCAGUCAAACCAGUCACAACUGUCUCAAGCCAAUGGCAGGUAUCAGAAAUUUUAGAAAAGGGAAAAGAUUCUUGAAAACAUAGUUAGCUCUGCCAAAAUCAUUCAGGAAAAUGAAGCUAUCAAAAGGCAAAGCUAGAUGAUGCAAAAUCAAGACAAUGAAACAAGUGUUAAAAACAACACUACCAAUCUGAUUCAGGAAAAUCAAAGCAAUCAAAAAGGCAACGAUGGAAAAAGCCUCUUCUUGCACUGGGUCAAAAGAAUUAGGUGUUCGUAUUCCAACAAGGACGAUGACUCUGAUUUUUUCAAAAGAAGUCAAUUCAGAACAAAAACGGUCACCGGUGUAUCCUUUCAAUAACAACAUCAAACUGAUCGGUUAAAAAAUCGGAGAUAUGCUAGAUUUUGAAGAAUGAAGAAGAUUCAGAACCAAACAAAAACAAACUUCCCUUACGGGAUGACCGGCCCAAG